UACGUAGGGUGCAAGCGUUGCCCGGAUUUAUUGGGCGUAAAGGGCGCGUAGGCGGCCCGCACAAGUCUGCGGUGAAAACCCCCGGCUUAACCGGGGGCCGGCCGUGGAAACUGUCGGGCUAGAGGCCGGGAGAGGGCAGCGGAAUUCCCGGUGUAGCGGUGAAAUGCGUAGAGAUCGGGGAGGAACACCGGCGGCGAAGGCGGCUGCCUGGACCGGCCCUGACGCUGAGGCGCGAAAGCUAGGGGAGCAAACAGGG
rnacentral:rRNA from 1 species